UCGGGAAUUUUGGGCAAUGGGCGAAAGCCUGACCCAGCAACGCCGCGUGAGGGAUGAAGUAUUUCGGUAUGUAAACCUCGAAAGAAUGGGAAGAAUAAAUGACGGUACCAUUUAUAAGCUCCGGCUAACUACGUGCCAGCAGCCGCGGUAAUACGUAGGGAGCAAGCGUUGUUCGGAUUUACUGGGCGUAAAGGGCGCGUAGGCGGCGCGGUAAGUCACUUGUGAAAUCUCUGAGCUUAACUCAGAACGGCCAAGUGAUACUGCUGUGCUAGAGUGCGGAAGAGGCAACCGGAAUUCUUGGUGUAGCGGUGAAAUGCGUAGAUGUCAAGAGGAACACCUGAGGCGAAGGCGGGUUGCUGGGCCGACACUGACGCUGAUGCGCGAAAGCCAGGGGAGCAAACG
rnacentral:rRNA from 1 species